CUUUCAAAGCACAUUUACCAGAGGGCCAUGAGUGGAUGUACAAGCUGUGCCGAGUAUACAAAUGUCGCAUGCGAAGAUCCUUGUGUUCACUGGACAAAGAAGAGGUGUGCGGCUUAUGCUGUGGUGUAAGGAGUGCGAGAAUCGGGGGCGGAGAUGUCGCGUUUGGUAGAUGCAUGUAUAAAGGCAAAUUCUACCGUGUCAAUGACGAAUGGGUAGAUGGGUGUGACUACAAGUGUAAAUGUGUUAAUGGACAGUUUGGGUCCUACAGAUGCGUUACCAGGUGCCCAACAUACUGACUACAAACCGGAUGCGUGUUGAAGAAAUUUGCAGGAGAAAGUUGUGCUCUCCCUGACUGUACUGGACCUGGAGGCGGUGGGUGCGUCUACAAGGGCAAAUACUACGGUGCCAAUGACGAAUGGGUAGACUGGGUGUGACUAUAAUGGUACAUGUGUUAAUGGACAGACUGGAUUCUACAGAUGUGUUGACAGAUGUCCGACUUACAAAUUACCUUCUGGAUGUGUACUGAGGAAACCUAAAAGGCAAUGUUGCGGUGUACCUGACUGUGCUGGAACAGAAGUCGGAACUGGAUCUGAAACUGGAGGAAAUACACAGGGUUGUUUCUUUAACAACACUCGUUACCAGCAAGGACAAACAUGGAAAGAUGGUUGCAAGUUUAACUGCCAGUGUGUAAAUGGUGCAACAGGAGAGUACCGCUGCAGGGCUUUGUGUUUCAACUGGCAGUUACCAAGCGCUUGUCAUCUGGAUCCUCCAGCUGCAGGAAAAUGUUGCCAGACACCAAACUGUCCAGCAGGCUACACUCUCAACUACCCACCAGGCUAUGACAAGACCAACCCGCCGUAAACAUACAGCAUUGACGCAAUAACUGUGCUCAGUAGAGACUUUAGCAUGACGAACUAAUUUUAUUACAUUGUAUAUUCUGUUUUGUUCUUUCCAAGACAUACCUCCAUCUUGCCUUGUCUUGAGCAAUUGCAAGUUGUUACUUUAGCAGCCAGUUGUUACUUUAACAACAACUUUUGUUAUAAUUCAUAUUUCAAACGAGUUUUGUAUUUUGUGAGAAUUCCGAAAAAAAACGUCUUGGAUCUACUCAACUGACAAUGAUAUUUCUUGUUUCAUUUUUACUUCUAUAUGUUGUUGUAAAUUGUUUUACAAUGUCUUAAAAUAAAUUCGUGAAGCAUAA
rnacentral:lncRNA from 1 species